rnacentral:rRNA from 1 species
GUCCACGCGGUAAACGAUGGGCACUAGGUGUGGGGGUAUCCACUCCUCCCGUGCCGUAGCUAACGCAUUAAGUGCCCCGCCUGGGGAGUACGGCCGCAAGGUUAAAACUCAAAGGAAUUGACGGGGGCCCGCACAAGCGGUGGAGCAUGUGGUUUAAUUCGACGCAACGCGAAGAACCUUACCUGGGCUUGACAUCCCCGGAACCCUCUGGAAACAGGGGGGUGCCUCCGUAAGGGGGAGCCGGGAGACAGGUGCUGCAUGGCUGUCGU